rnacentral:rRNA from 1 species
CCUACGGGUGGCAGCAGUGGGGGAUAUUGCACAAUGGGGGAAACCCUGAUGCAGCGACGCCGCGUGUGGGAAGACGGUCCUCUGGAUUGUAAACCACUGUCCCCAGGGACGAAGAUGACGGUACCUGGGGCGGAAGCUCCGGCUAACUACGUGCCAGCAGCCGCGGUAAUACGUAGGGAGCAAGCGUUGUCCGGAAUUACUGGGUGUAAAGGGAGCGUAGGCGGGAUGGCAAGUUGGGUGUUAAAUCUACCGGCUCAACUGGUAGUCGCACUUGAAACUGGUAAUCUUGAGUGAAGUAGAGGUAGGCGGAAUUCGUAGUGUAGCGGGGAAAUGCGGAGAGAUUAGGAAGAACACCGGUGGCGAAGGCGG